UGAAUGGUGUACGUAAGUUAUCCUGGAGCGGUGAGUAAAGCAAAUGUAGGAAUAAGUAACGAUAAGGAGGGUUAGAUUCCCUCCCGCUGUAAGACCAAGGUUUCCCGGGCAAUGCCAAUCAGCCCGGGGUCAGUCGGGUCCUAAGUCUAAGCCGAACGGCGAUGGCGAUGGCAGAGACGGUUAAUAUUCCGUCACUGCCGCAUGGGGCGACGUGGAGACGGAGCAGUGAAACCACCGCGGGGCGACGGAAGUCCCCGUUGAAGAGUGUAGGCGUUGAGGAUGGCAGGCAAAUCCACCGUCCGAGCUGAACUUGAUAGUAUGGAGUCUUCUUCGGAAGAAUCCAAUAGUGUGGGUAAUCAUACUCCCGAGAAAAUCCGCUAAGCUUAACCCAUGCGGCACCCGUACCGCAAACGGACACACGUGGUCGGGUAGAACAUACUGAGGCGUUGAGAGAUUCAUGGUUAAGGAACUAGGCAAAUUGACCCUGUAACUUCGGGAUAAAGGGUCCUCGUGAAGAGCGAGGCGCAGAGAAUAGGUCCAGGCAACUGUUUAACAAAAACACAGGGCUGUGCAAACUCGAAAGAUGACGUAUACAGCCUGACACCUGCCCGGUGCCGGAAGGUUAAGAGGAGAUGUCACACUUAUGUGGAAGCAUUGAAUUGAAGCCCCGGUAAACGGCGGCCGUAACAAUAACGGUCCUAAGGUAGCGAAAUUCCUUGUCGGGUAAGUUCCGACCUGCACGAAUGGUGUAAUGAUCCGGACGCUGUCUCAACCAUGAGCUCAGUGAAAUUGUAGUAUCGGUGAAGAUGCCGAUUACCCGCGAUGGGACGAAAAGACCCCGCGAACCUUUACUACAGCUUAGCAUUGACCUUGGUCAUCCGAUGUGUAGGAUAGGCCGGAGGCUUCGAAGCGGGAGCGCCAGCUUUCGUGGAGCCAUCCUUGAAAUACGGCCCUUUGGCUGUCUGGGGUCUAACGCGUGAUACGCGGACACUGCUUGGUGGGUAGUUUGACUGGGGUGGUCGCCUCCAAAAGCGUAACGGAGGCUUCCAAAGGUGCCCUCGGGUCGAUUGGUAACCGACCUCAAAGAGUGCAUGGCAUAAGGGCGCUUGACUGGGAGGCAGACAUGCCGAGCAGGCAGGAAACUGGGGCAUAGUGAUCCGGCGGAUGUGUAUGGAAACUCCGUCGCUCAAAGGAUAAAAGGUACUCCGGGGAUAACAGGCUGAUCCCCCCCAAGAGCUCAUAUCGACGGGGUGGUUUGGCACCUCGAUGUCGGCUCGUCACAUCCUGGGGCUGGAGAAGGUCCCAAGGGUUGGGCUGUUCGCCCAUUAAAGUGGCACGCGAGCUGGGUUCAGAGCGUCGUGAGACAGUUCGGUCUCUAUCUAUCGUGGGCGUGGGAGUUUUGAGUGGUGCCGUCACUAGUACGAGAGGACCGUGAUGGACAGACCUCCGGUUUACCAGUUGUGCCGCCAGGCGCACCGCUGGGUACCUGAGUCUGGAUUGGAUAAGCGCUGAAAGCAUCUAAGUGCGAAGCCAGCCGCAAGAUGAGAACUCCAUUGAGGGUCGUCAGAGACGAUGACGUUGAUAGGAUGCAGGUGUAAAGACAGCGAUGUCAAAGCCGAGCAUUACUGAUUGCCCGA
rnacentral:rRNA from 1 species